UACAGAGGGUGCAAGCGUUAAUCGGAAUUACUGGGCGUAAAGCGUGCGUAGACGGUAGCGUAAGUCGGGUGUGAAAGCCCCGGGCUCAACCUGGGAAUUGCAUUCGAGAUGCUCUGCUAGGGUGCGGAAGAGGGAAGCGGAAUUUCCGGUGUAGCGGUGAAAUGCGUAGAUAUCGGAAGGAACACCAGUGGCGAAAGCGGCUUCCUGGUCCAGCACCGACGUUCAGGCACGAAAGCGUGGGGAGCAAACAGG
rnacentral:rRNA from 1 species